CUUAUAUACAUAUGUUGUAUAAUAAUAAUAAUAAUAAUAAUAAUCCUUCGCAGGAUGAAUUUUCUGGGGGAACAAACACAUUUGGCCAGACACCAUCCUUUUAUAUUUAUGAUAUUAAAUAUAAUAUUAAAAUUAAUUGCAAUAACACUGGCAAACAUCAUUACAGCACAUAGGAAUGCCAACUCGACACAUUCUUUCACAUGGCGACCCAUCGGGACCACACGACUGGUUGUUGAUUAAGGAGCCUUUGUCAGCCAAAACAGAUGAGAUAAACAAACCUGAAAAUUACAGCAGAUUCCAAUAGAGAUAAACCCGGGAAUUAGAUGAUGGUAAUUAGAGUGCUAGCCAUUGAGACAAACAAAAGACUACGUACCAGACAUGGAAACCAAUAACAUGACCAUGAACACCAUCUUCAAAUUUUGCUCCAUCUUUUAAAGGAUCGUUUUGUAAAAGCAAACCCAAAGGAGUUAG
rnacentral:lncRNA from 1 species